UACGUAGGGUGCGAGCGUUGUCCGGAAUUAUUGGGCGUAAAGGGCUCGUAGGCGGUUUGUCGCGUCGGGAGUGAAAACCCAGGGCUUAACUCUGGGCUUGCUUUCGAUACGGGCAGACUAGAGGUAUGCAGGGGAGAACGGAAUUCCUGGUGUAGCGGUGAAAUGCGCAGAUAUCAGGAGGAACACCGGUGGCGAAGGCGGUUCUCUGGGCAUUACCUGACGCUGAGGCACGAAAGCCAGGGGAGCAAACAGG
rnacentral:rRNA from 1 species